UUUAAGGUGCUCAUGAAAAAAUAAAUUGCCGGUAUUGAAAGCUUCAAGAGCAAUUUCUCUUCCAGCACAAACAGCCAGAUAAAAUUACUUAAGGUAAUUAAUGCAUUCAAGAGAAUUUAAUUUUAGCAUCCACAAUACAAUUUCUAAACAAGAGCAACCAGCACCUGAGUCGGGUUCUCCAGAGGAAUGAUUUGAAGCAGCCAAUGCCAU